CAGCAGCCGCGGGAAUACGUAGGGUGCGAGCGUUAAUCGGAAUUACUGGGCGUAAAGGGAGUGUAGGCGGUCUUUUAAGUCUGAUGUGAAAGCCCACGGCUCAACCGUGGAGGGUCAUUGGAAACUGGGAGACUUGAGUGCAGAAGAGGAGAGCGGAUUUCCAUGUGUAGCGGUGAAAUGCGUAGAUAUAUGGAGGAACACCAGUGGCGAAGGCGGCUCUCUGGUCUGUAACUGACGCUGAGGCUCGAAAGCGUGGGGAGCAAACAGGAUUAGAUACCCGGGUAGUCCCUGUCUCUUAUAC
rnacentral:rRNA from 1 species